CUACAACCCAUUGCCAAACCCCGUUUCACUUUCACUUCAUUUUCUUCCCGGUUUCUCUGCAUUUUCCCUUUCUUCUCCCUUCACUUUGGUAAACAGAGGAACUGGAAUUAACUGAAAGCUGAGAAGCAGUAGAUUGAACAAAGUUAAAAAAGAGAGGAAAACAUGCAUUCUUUCGGGUACAGAUUAAAUGGUCUGCUAACAUUUUCCGUGACAAUUCUGGCUAUAAUGUGUGCCAUCGCAUCUCUCUCGGACAACCUCAACUCUCGUUCUCCCUCUGCAGAAAUCCAGGUUAUGAACAUAAAUUGGUUUCAGAAGCAGCCACAGGCGAAUGAUGAGGUGAGCCUGACGAUGAAUAUAUCGGCUGAUUUGCAAUCAUUGUUUACAUGGAACACAAAACAGCUUUUCAUAUUUGUAGCAGCUGAGUACGACACCCCAAAGAAUUCCUUGAAUCAGGUGUCUCUUUGGGAUGCUAUAAUACCUGCCAAAGUGCAUGCAAAGUUUUGGAUCCACACCUCAAACAAGUAUCGUUUUGUUGAUCAGGGAAAAUAUCUCCGUGGCAAAAAAUUCAACUUGACAUUGCAUUGGCAUGUCAUGCCGAAGACUGGAAAGAUGUUUGCAGACAAAAUUGUCCUGACUGGCUAUAGUUUUCCGGAGGAAUAUAGAUGAGGUUUACUUGACGUAUGUUUUGAGGUUACUCUAAGUUAAGCUGUCUCAGUGUGUGGGAUAUUAUAGCUCAGCUGAAUCAUAGAACUUGAGAUUUGGAACAUUGACACUUCAAUACUUUAUAUUUGAGAAAAAUGAGGAAAUGGGUAUUUCUCAACUUUUUUUUAACACAUUUAGGCUUUCGGUUUG